rnacentral:lncRNA from 1 species
CUGCCCUCAGCAUCCCUUCUGGGCAGCAGACGCAGUUUGUCAACAUUCUGCUUUUAUGAGAACAGUUUGCUGUUUACUCAUAUAGCCUCCAGUGAUAUACUGAGUUGAUCACGACCCUCACUCUUUUGGCCUGCAACAGUCUCCUUCAGACUGAGGUUGACUGUGAGGUAACUGAAACCACGGAAAGCAAAACUGCCAACAAGAAUGAAUAGGGAGGACCACAAGACAUUUGUCACAUUCCACCAUAGCCUACUUCCAUAUUUGAGAGACACAGAAAGAAGACCCUCUGCAGACACAAGACGUCAGUGCUAUGAUUUUGGACUUCCCAGCCUCCAGAAACAUGAGUCAAUAAAUUUAUGUUCAUUAUAAA